GGGCCCGCACAAGCGGCGGAGCAUGCGGAUUAAUUCGAUGCAACGCGAAGAACCUUACCUGGGUUUGACAUGGCCGCAAAACUCGCAGAGAUGCGGGGUCCUUCGGGGGCGGUCACAGGUGGUGCAUGGCUGUCGUCAGCUCGUGUCGUGAGAUGUUGGGUUAAGUCCCGCAACGAGCGCAACCCUUGUUCGAUGUUGCCAGCGGGUAAUGCCGGGGACUCAUCGAAGACUGCCGGGGUCAACUCGGAGGAAGGUGGGGAUGAGGUCAAGUCAUCAUGCCCCUUAUGUCCAGGGCUUCACGCAUGCUACAAUGGCCGGUACAAAGGGCUGCGAUACCGUGAGGUGGAGCGAAUCCCAAAAAGCCGGUCUCAGUUCGGAUCGGGGUCUGCAACUCGACCCCGUGAAGUCGGAGUCGCUAGUAAUCGCAGAUCAGCAACGCUGCGGUGAAUACGUUCCCGGGCCUU
rnacentral:rRNA from 1 species